UUUUUUUUUUUUUUUUUUUUUGGUCUUUUUAGGGCUGAACCCAUGGCAAAUGGAGGUUCCCAGGCUAGGGGUCUAAUCAGAGCUGUAGCCCCAGCCUACACCACAGCCACAGCAACCCCAGAUCCGAGCCCCAUUUGUGACCUACACCACAGCUAUUGCAAUGCUGGAUCCUUAACCCACUGAGCAAGGCCAGGGAUCAAACCCGCAACCUCAUGGUUCCUAGUCAGAUUCAUUUCCACUGUGCCACGACGGGAACUCCCACCUUCUACUUUUAACAUAUUUUAAGACACUAUAUAGUAUUAUUCCAUUUAUGCCUUCUGCUUAUUUUUCCAUGUUUUUCUCAUGUAGAUUAUUUCUUCCUUAAUCUUGAAAUUAGAUAUUUGUAAUUAGAUAUUUAUGAGAGAAUAUUAUUUCAAUAAAAUCUUACUUUUAUUGACCUAUAAUAAUACCAACAUGAAGACUAUAUUAUCUCUUAAGAAAAAAUUUAUUUUCCUCUGCAGCCUAGAUUUAUAUGAAAACACAACUGUCUAACCCACAAUUUGUGGGAUUAAUAUAUACAAAUUAUAUAUAUACAUAAAAUCUUUUUUUGGUCCUUAUUUUAAUUCCCAAGCUAAUAACAAUUUACAGGCAGUUAAGAAAUCCAAUUCAAUCAAUUUUCUAAGUUCCUUGUUUUUCAUUAGGAUGAUCCUUAAGGCAGGUGGCCUUCAAUUAGUUUGGCUGACAGCUCUGGCUAAUGUUUUAAUGAUCCCUAACAAGGGAAACAAAAAAGGGGAAAAAAUAAGAAGAUUUACAACAGUGAGGAUAAGCUAGAUCAGGCAGGGAGGCAGAGUACAUAACCACUAAUUAACUCUCGUCAUUUAAACAUCUGCAAGCUAAAAGAAGAUACCCAAGUAUCCCUGCACUGCUGACAAGUCCUUGAAGCAUAUGAUACAAAGAGUAGCCUCUAAUCCUAUAUGCCCAGACAUGUAGGAAAUUGUCAAAUGGACUAGCUAAUACUAUGUAAUGACAUCUAACUUUUGAAGGCUUAACUAUACCAAAAUACUUGUCAUAAAACAAAUGGAAGGGACAACAUCAUUUCUUACAACAGCCUUCUAACUGUUCCCUCUGUUUCCAGCAGCCUUGCUGCUAUCUAAUUUAUACAGAGCAGAUAGAACAGUCUCCCAGAAUAAACGAGACUCUAUCACUCUUUUGCUUAAAAUGUUCUAAAGGCUUCCUCCUGCAAUUAAAAUAAAAUGUGAAAAUCUUUACACAUAAAGAUAAACCGUACAUGAUCUGGCCCUGACCACUUACACUUUCAGCUGCAUAUAUCAGAAAUCCAACUAUAACGGCUUAAAUAUUGUAACACCUCAACAAGCAAGAGAUGUAAGCACUUUAUCCUUAACAAAGUAAGAGGUUUUAUUUUGUUUUUUUCCUCACAUAACAAAAAGUCUAGAUGUUGCCACUGCAGGGCUGGUACAGACGCUCAACAAAGUCAUUAAAGAAUCAAAUACUCUCUAGCUUCCUGCUCUCAACCUUAGCAUGUAGCUUUUGUCCUCAUAGUUGCAAAAUGGCUGCUCUAUCUCCAGACACUGUUUAUAUUCCAGGCAGAAAGGAAGACAAACAGCAAAGAAUGAAAGUACUGCAUGCCAGCUGAGUCUGUCACUUUUAAUCAAGAAAACAAUCAUUUUCCCAGAAUCUCCACCUAGUAAUCAUCAUCUCUUUCAGGACAAUUUCACAAGGGUUCUGCAACACACGAAAAUCAAGUGUCAUGGAAUAUUUGAAACUUCAUUUCCUAAUCUCUUCACUCCAUUCUCCAUGCUCUAGCCAUCCUAGCCUCUCUGUCUCUAAAACAUCCCUUCUUUGGUCCUAUAUCUUGAUCUUAACACUUGCUGUUCCCUUUGCCUGAACUUCAUUUCCCCAACUGACUGCAUGGGACAUUACCUUCACAUCUUUCAAACCUCUGCACUGAAGUCAACUCCCUCAGAUGGCUUUAUCUUAUACCUCUAGCAAACAGUUUUUAGCCCAUCUCUGGUUGUUCUCUCUCUCUCUCUCUUUUAUUUUGCUUCUUUUUGUUGUUGGUAUUACUUUAUUUUCUUCAUAGCUUUUUUGUAUUUGAAAUAUUUUAUCGUUUUUGGUUUGCACUUUUUAUCUACAUCCGCUAGAAUAUAAACUCAUAAUGGCGAAGUUUUCCUUGUCUUUUCCCUGCUAUGUGCAGUGCCUUGAACAUUGCCUAGCACAGGGCAAAUGCUGAGUUAAUAGUUUGAUUCUGACUUAAUGAAUGGAUCAAUGGUUUUCCUGACCUAGCUUGAAUUUUCAACCCUUCUCUUCACUGCCUUCUUAGUCACUCAUCUUGACUCUGAAAUAAGUAAUAGCAUAAUGCUGCUUGAUUCUCUUUGAAUUUCUAAAUUAUAUUUUGUGUUUUCUUAAAUUACUCUAUUGUUUAGUUGGCUUUCGUAAGCAUGGUUUGCUUGGUCAUAAAAUGCAUUUAAGAAAAUUAUUUCCAGGAGUUCCCAUCAUGGUGUAGUGGAAACAAAUCCAACUAGGAACCAUGAGGUUGCGAGUUCGAUCCCUAGCCUCGCUCAGUGGGUUAAGGAUCCGGCAUUGCCAUGAGCUGUGGUGUAGGGCGCAGACACGGCUCAGAUCUGGCGUUGCUGUGGCUCUGGUGAAAGCUGGCAGCUGUAGCUCCCAUUAGACCCCUAGUCUGGGAGUCUCCAUAUGCUGCAGGUGUGCCCCUAAAAAAAGACAAAAGACAAAAAAGAGAAAAAAUAAAAUUAUUUUCAAUUCUUUUGUACAUGCAUUGGAACUUUUUGGUUCUCCCAUCAUUUAUAAGCCUCUGUUUUUAAUUAUUCUAAUAUCUAUGCCAUGGACAACUUUGUUUUUUACAUUUUCUGAGUGAUUGUAUUUCAGGGACUAUUACUCAAAACUGGUCCUUCACCCUUUUCUAUCUUAAAGUCAAAGAGAAUACAUUAAAUAAUUCUUCACAAACAUCUUUACAUCCCUUAUAAACAAUUAAAACAUUCAAUUUUCACAUCCUGCUGCCAGACAAAUCUCUAAACCUUGGAAUACAAAUAUUUUUGAAUGUCUGAUUUUUGUCCCUGAUUUAAACUUGGUAGAUAUAGUGAAUGACUUUAAUGUGAAUUUCCUAUUCUAUCUCUUUUUUGCAUCCCCUCUAAUACAUUUUGCAGAGCAUUACAAAGGGACUCAAUUUUCCUUAUCCUAAAGAUUUAACAUUUAUUAUGCUCAAAGCUUCUAAAGAUUUUCUGGUGUAGGUUUUUCCUUUAUAUUCACUUGCCCCACUUGCAGGUACAAAAAGCUAGGAGAGUAGGGGGAAAGAAAGAAAAAGAAAGAAAAAAAAAAUUCACCAAGCUUAGAAAUCUUUUCCCCUUUUCCUCAUAGGCAUAAAUGAGAACCUUUCAUGACCAGUCUUCUAAGAAUUCAUUUUUCUUUUCACUCCGACUUCACUGAAUGAGGGUGCGGAGCAGGGAUUAUCUUGGUAAAGUAGAAGUAAAAAUAGAGCUAAACUGAGAUAGUCCUUCUUGAGAAGCCCAAGAUAUGUACAUUUUUAAAAAAUCAUCAAAUUGUCCCAAAUCUGAGGUUUCUUUCCAAGGAGACAAGAACAUUUGAAUAUUCUGAGGAGAAUUAAACAUUUGCGAAGGCAAAUACUACUCCUUAUAGGUGAACCAAAAUUGACUUUUCUGGCCAUGGGUUCUAACCACUGGUGAUUAGGCAUUAUCCAUCAUUACAGCUAUUUCUCUGGUGGCCCCAACUACAUGGUAAGUGCUGGGCUGUCCUGAUGAUGCCCUGAGUUUAACAUGGGGCCUUGGCUCCAUCCCUAUGCACAGAGUGACAACAGACACAGGCAGCUGUAACUUGAACAAGGUAAACUCUGCCAGAGAUUUUAGAAUAAUCAUUAGAAACAUUCCAAAGAAAGGAAUGCCUGUCAAAUUUUAGGGUAUGCAAGAAUCACUGAAGAGCUUGUUGAAAAUGCAACAUUAUUCUUUUCACUCUAGGACAUGGAUGUAGAAGUGAAAAUUGAGCUAAAUUAAGAUUGGAUAUUCAGUAAGGGAGACGUGGAACCUGAGCAUCUGCAUUUAACAAGCUCCCCAAGUAGAUGAUCUUUAGCCAACACUUUGAGAAAAGGUGCUCCAAACUACUUAAAUGGUUGAAAGGAAGAGGCAUGGCUUAUACAUUAAAUUUUAAGCCUGUUUUCUAAAUUUGAUGAUAGUAGAUAUUAGAUUGUCAAAUGGGAUGUACAAAUAUAUGAAUGAAUGAAGUAUUCACUAACAUUUAUGAAGAGAAUACACAAUGAAGUUCUCAGCCUCUUGAAUGAUGCACAAGCAGCCUCCACCCACAGUGGAGAAAUGCAGGGCAGGGGCCGCAAGGAGAGAAGGACUGAGAUUUAUUGAGCAACGAGGCUGUGCCAAGCAUUGUGAAGAAAGGCACCCCACAUGCACCGCUGGUGGCAUUGAUUGCUCAGGCCUUAGGAGAGAGAUGACAUUUGAAAAAUGAAUAAGAACUUACCUGGUAAAUAAGGUGGGAACAUUCCAGGGAAAAGGAGCAAAAAGUACCAAUGCACAGCCAGGCAAAAAGAUCUGACACAUUUCCAACUCUGCUUGCCCCACGCCUGGAUGUGGACGGAGAAAUGAUGGGAGACCAUUUCCUUAAGUUGCCAUCAAAACCAUGAAUGCUUUUCUACACUCAGAACUUGCCCUUAACAUGUCAGUUGCAAUUUGCAGAAAUCAUAUCACAUUUGCCACACUUAUGUUAUUAGCAAUGGAGACGCUACCAUGAUUUAUGUCUCAUCAUCUUCAAACAAGUGUGCACGAUAAAUCGCAGUCUGGCUCCUUGGCAUUAUUAGAUCAUUAAGGUGGACCAUUCAUCUGAUUAGCAUUCAGACUAUCUCUCAGAAUGUCUCCAACGAGCCCUGUAGAGUGACUGCAAGUGUUUCCAUUAGUUUACAAGAGCAAGUUCCACUCACUUUUUUUCUACUCCUUUGUGGUUACCUUUCUCCUUGGCUGGAAGCAUGGUGGUGACAGAGGCCUGGAGAAGGAGCUAAGGAGAAGAGGGUAUCCCCCAAACACAGUUAACAGAUUCCAGCGCUGUCAGUGCUGUACACCUGAAUGAAAUUUUAAAACUAGGGGGCAAAAAAACUUGAAGAUUUUAUAGGGUUUUUUUCCCUAGCAGUUUUUUUUUCUUUUUUUUCUAUUGCUCAACUUACUUAAUUUUUAUUUAUGAAUUUUAUCAUCUAAGUCAAUUAGCCUCUUGAAUGAAUAUAUGCAUAAAAGAAAAUCUAACAACCAUUGAGCUAAGAAUAGAAAAUAAUGUUAAAUAAAAUACUCUUCUCUGAUCAGUCAUUCAUUGGUCACAGUAAUGAAACCAGAAGACUCAUUAAAAACUACCUAAAUGGCAGCCAGCAAUGGUCCAUGACCACCUAAGCAUAGAAAUUUGGAGUGUUUAUAAACAUUUCUAGCAAUUUGACAGAGAAGUAUUUUGUCUAUUGACUCUAAAAUUAAAUUAAAAUUGGAGCUUGUCCAUUAAAAGGAAAUAACGGCAUUUGCAGCAACAUGGAUGGACCUAGAAAUUAACAUGCUAAGUGAAGUUAGUCAGACAGUGAGACACCAACAUCAUAUGCUAUCACUUACAUGUGGAAUCUAAAAAGAGGACACAAUGAACUUCUUUGCAGAACAGAUACUGACUCACAGACUUUAAAAAACUUACAGUUUCCAAAGGAGACAGGUUGGGACGUGGGGAGGAGGGCUGGGGGUUUGGCUUGGAAAUGCUAUAAAACUGGGUUGUGAUGAUAACUGUACAACUAUAAAUGUAAUAAAAUCAUUGAGUAAUUAAAAAAAUAAAAUGAAAUAAAAUUUGAACUUGUAUUUUAGAUUCUUUCCAUUUCAUUUUUCUAGAAAGUCUCUCUUAUUGUAUUAUAUAAAAUCAUAAGAACAUAAUAGAUUAGAAAAUAAUUAUACCAGCAUAGAUAGUUUGAGAGGCCCUGACUUAAGAUAAUAUUCAGAUCUAAAACAAUAAUAACUACAAUAUUAAUUUAUAGUUGCACAGAGCUUUAUGUUUUCAACUCUUCCCUUGAUCUUGAGUGCAACCUUUCUAAUUGUUAAUCUCCAUUUUACAGAAGAAGAAAUCCAUCCCUAGAGAGGUUAAGUGAAUCAUCAAAAGGUCAGACCUAGUACCAGGACCUGUGGCUCUUUACUCUAAAAAAGGUUUUUUCUCUCCUACCAUAACUCAAAACUCAUAACUGAAAAAAAGCAAAAUUUCAGAAAACUUAAGAAAAUCUGCCAACGUAAGCAAAAAAUGUUUUUUUAAAAAACUUUAGGGCAUGGUUCAAUUGCAGUCUUUAAAAAUUCUUUUCUGUUUAUGCGUGUUUCAUGAGGGCAGUGAUACUAAGGCUCUAAAACACACAUAACCUCUUUUCCCAUUAUACAGACAAAAAAAAAAUGGAGACCUAAAAAUAUAGGUAUCCCCAGCUUUUCAAAAAUUCUCUUUAAGCCAUUUCACUUUUACAAAAGACCUACAUUAGCUUUUAUUUUCACUG
rnacentral:lncRNA from 1 species